rnacentral:pre_miRNA from 1 species
AGACAUGGGGCCUGAUCCAAAGCCCACUUCAAGUCAGUGAGAGUCUUUCCGUUGACUUCAGUGGGGGUUGGAUCAAGCCCAAGUCCU